rnacentral:rRNA from 1 species
UCCGGUGACUUUAGCGGUAGGGUAACACCUCUUCCCAUUCCGAACAGAGCAGUUAAGCCUGCCAGCGCUAAUGAUACUAUGUGGGUAACUGCAUGGAAAAGUAGGACGUCGCCGGGA